UUAAUCAUUCACAUCUAACCUUAUUUUCCCAUUGCACUUAAUCUAUGUGGUUGUUUUGAUAACUGUUCUAGGGAUGAUAUUGAGGAUCGAUCUGACUGAGAACCGAGAUUGUUAGCUUAGAUUUCAAUCGCCACGUGUUUGUUGUUCUCUACGACAGAUUGUAGGGGUGGAAGAGGAUAUCACAAUCGCAUGCGCCUCGAAGACGAUCGAUAAAAGACCACCAGGUCCGCUAUCGCAUGACGUCACGGGCCUGACAGCGAAAAGCCUCGAUAAUCAGCGAGCAAUCCCGAUGGUGACCGAGGCCUCUCGAAGCAACCCGCCUUCCAUCAGGUCGUAAACGCGACCGACAUCCUACCUUCCGUCGUUUUGACGUAUCCGUUGUUACGCAAAAAUUCGCAAGCUCAAUCUCUUUUUAUUAUAUUCCAUGUAAUCAUUAGUCUAGUGACAGAGGACCAACAAUUUAAACAGAACCUCAGUGAAUCAAUAACUGUCAUUAACAUCAGUGAGACUCAUUUUUAUAAAACACAUAAAAAGCUACGAAUAUGUGGAAAUUAUCGGGAAAAAGAAGUAUUUAAUGGUUGAAGAAAAAAAAGUACAGUGAAUUAAUGAAAUCUAGAGGGUAAUUUUAAAUUGAUAUCAAUUAGAGUGAAAUAAAAAAUAAAUAAAUGAAAAGACAGAUUAUUUUUGAUGAUUAAUUAAAUGAGAAUGGUAUAGUUGAGUAUAAAAAGGUGGCUGUAAAAUUAAAAAUAAAAAUAUAAAAGAAGAAUAAAAAAAAAAUAUAUAAUAAAUAGUGUCAAACAAUUGCAUUGCUGCAGCAAGAGUGGCGCAGCUGAGCUAGAGCAGUGUAUACGACGAAUCGGUGAGACCAUAUACAAACGGGUGGUUGGGUGGGUGGUUGAGCUAAUACGACCCACAGCCCUACAUUCAAGAACGACAACUAAGUAGUGCAGGUUAACCUCUAUAAGUCUACACACCCUCGUUGUAUUUUUUCACUUUAUUUAGCUGCUUUAACAUCAGAAUAGCAUUUUUAUUAUCAUCAUAACCUACUUAUUUAAGAAGGCCUAAUAAAAAAUAGCAUGAAAGUUGAUUAAUUAAAGGGGUUGAACGAGAGUUAGGGUUGGGAGUGGAACGGGAAAGUGACAAAAAGUGUGAAAAAAAUCAAGUGGUGACGCGUAGAAGGGAAGAAGAACGUCCCCGUGUUGGGGGUGGAAGACGAGGGGUGGUGGUGUUUGCUGGAUCUCCAGUUGGAUCACCAUCAUCUAGUGUGCCAGGUUACAGUGAAGGCAUUGGAAGAAUACCAGGUGGAUAUUGUGAUGUGUUGGAGCCCUCAAGUAGCCAUCGAUCACGCGAGAUCGUUGGUCGAUCGGUCGUGAGGGCACCAGGGAUUUUACCAACGGCCCGCGGGCUGGCCGGGAGUCCGGGUGACGACGAGGUCGGUGGAGGAUGGUGUGACCUCCGUCGUCAUCCCGCACGUAGACCUGGCGGUGGUGGUUUCGGGACAGAACGUCUACUUGAUUCUGAAGAAGACGAAGAAGAAGACGAAGAAGCGGAGGAGGGGGAGGAGGUGGGAGAGGCGGAGGACGAAGAGCUGGCGAUGUCGAGGCAGCCUCGUGGAGAUCGGGAAUUGAGUCGAGAUUUGAGAGAUAGAGAUUUACGUUCUGAUCAUCGGGAUCCUGAUCACGUUGGUGGUAGACGGCAUCGAGAUGUUGAUUUCGAGUAUGAACAUAGCACACCUGGUGCUGCUGCUUCUUCAACACAUCCAGCGAGGUCUAAUGGAAGGGCUUACGCAUUCACGGAGAAGAAAUGUGAUCGUGACAACCUCCAGUUGGUCAAUUUAAGUGUUCCCCCAAGAAGACAUAAUGUUGGCUCAGCGGACUCCAAUUAUUCACAACCAAGUUCCGAUCUUUCUCUGGACGAAGAAAAAGAGAGCUUACGUCGUGAAAAAGAGAAAACAGCACUCAGCCAGCUUGAAAAAGCUCGAACGAAGCCUGUAGCCUUUGCAGCCAGAACCAAUGUUAGCUAUGAUGGAUCCAUUGACGAUGAUUCGCCUGUCCAUGGAUCUGCUGUUAGUUUUAAUGUUCAUGACUUCCUUCAUAUUAAGGAAAAAUAUGAUAAUAACUGGUGGAUUGGAAGGCUCGUGAAAGAAGGUUCUGACGUGGGGUUCAUUCCAUCCCCCGCUAAGUUAGAUGCCCUCCGAGUCCAAGCAAGUGCGGCACGUGGCACAAAAGGUUUAUAUUCAGCACGUGGUGGAUCAUCGAGUAAUCUUGGGGAAAGUGGAAUGCCAUCGCGUGGGUCGACGCCACCUACACCUGGUGAUGAUAGCGACAGUGUUGGCAAUGUGAGACCUGGGAAAACAACGUUAACUACUCCGCCUGUCAAAGAGAAACGAAAGAAUUUUUUUAAGAAGCCGUCUUACGAAACUACAACACCAUACGAUGUUGUUCCAUCAAUGAGACCAAUAGUUAUAGUAGGACCAUCGUUGAAAGGAUAUGAAGUCACAGAUAUGAUGCAAAAGGCGUUAUUUGAUUUUUUGAAGCGAAGGUUUCCAGGACGGAUAAUCAUCACGAGGAUAACUCCAGACAUAUCGUUGGGGAAAAAGUCACUAUUAAAUAAUCCGACAAAACGAGCCAUUAUGGAACGAUCAACAAGCAGAAGUAGUUGUUUAGCAGAAGUUCAAGCUGAAAUAGAAAGAAUAUUUGAAUUAGCAAGAACACUUCAACUGGUUGUAUUAGAUUGUGAUACGAUUAAUCAUCCAUCACAAUUAGCAAAAACAAGCUUAGCGCCAAUCAUUGUCUACUUAAAAAUAUCCUCGCCAAAAGUUCUUCAGAGACUGAUUAAAUCUCGAGGUAAAUCACAAACUCGACAUCUAAAUGUACAGAUGGUCGCGGCGGAGAAGCUCGCCCAGUGUCCUCCUGAAAUGUUUGAUGUGAUAAUUGACGAGAAUCAGUUGGAUGAAGCUUGCGAACAUGUAGCUGAAUAUUUAGAGGCUUAUUGGAGAGCAACACAUCCCCCAGUUAUGGCAGUUCCUCGAACCAUUGCUACAGCAUCUGAUGCACCAGCAGAUGUUUUAGCACCAAGAGUGCCGUCAGCGGCUAUGUAUGGAUCUACACACUUAUAUCCACCACAGUGAUAAGUGGGACUUCGUAACCCGCGUUAGUCUUUUUCUUUUCUUUUCACCUUUUUUAUUUAUUUUCUCUUUCUAUUUGUCUCUCUUGCUCUCUUGCUCUUCUUUGCUCCAUUAUGUACACUAUCAGUGUUGUAUAUUUGCUGUACUACCAAUUGCUAUUUUACUACUGGAGUUUUUUUUUCUAAUGUUUUAUUAACUAUUUUUUUUUUUAUCCAUGUUUUUGUUUAAUUUAUAGCUUGACAUCUCGUGCGUUCAAUUUUUAAUUUCACUAUCAAUUAGCUGCAAGUAUCAAAUGAUUUUGUUUUUUUGUUUUUUUUGUUUUUUUUGAAAUAAAAAUGAGGGAUUUUUAAAGUCCAUGGGGGGAUAAAAGCAGGCAGGUAAGAGAGGCUUGGGAAGAGGUUUAGAAGAAUUAAUUAAGCUUGAUCUGAGAAGAAAUAAAAAAAAAAAAUGGUUUCAAUGUAAAUGAAAGAGAAUAAUUGAUAAAGUCGGCUUGUAAACAAUAAUUAGCAAUUCUAGAUUAAUUAGAAGGCAAAAGAACCAGUUUUAAUCGGAGUAGAGUUAGUUUUUGUGAACUUUUAACUCUUAUUUGUUAAUAUUCUUCUGUUCCCGGCUAUCAUAAAGCCGUGGACCCUGUGGCUGCUACGGGGAUCAUCCGGAAAGCAACAAGACUGAGCAUAAAGAAGUAAAAAAUGGCUCUUGACUGGAAUCAUCAUCGAGAUUUUGAAUCAAAUUGAGAAAGAGACCGUUCGCACCCAACUUGUGAGAGAGUCAUCGUUGCCUUAAUAGUUCUUCCUUAAAAUCAGUGGACCAAUUUAUCAUUGACAUGGGAUUGUGAAUUACUUCAUUAGCUGAUUGAUUAGCUGAAAUACUCUAGGGAGAAAGACGAGCACUUCUACACUUGUCUUUUAAAAUAGAAAUUGUUUUAUUGUUAAUCCAAAAUUAACGCGAAAAGAAUUUUUUGCAGUCGCGUUCAGGACAGAGUACUUAUGGUGGAGCACAUGCUAGUACAAGAAGAUCUAGAUUGGAACGAGGUGAUCGUGAAAGAGAACGAGAACGUGAGAGAGAACGUGA
rnacentral:misc_RNA from 1 species